rnacentral:rRNA from 1 species
GAGUCAUCGAAAUUUUGAACGCAUAUUGCACUUCCGGGUUAGUCCUGGGAGUAUGCCUGUAUCAGUGUCCGUACAUCAAACUUGGCUUUCUUCCUUCCGUGUAGUCGGUGGAGGAUGUGCCAGAUGUGAAGUGUCUUGCGUGUUGUCCUUCGGGUCGACUGCGAGUCCUUUUAAAUGUACUGAACUGUACUUCUCUUUGCUCGAAAAGCGUGGUGUUGCUGGUUGUGGAGGCUGCCUGCGUGGCCAGUCGGCGACCGGUUUGUCUGCUGCGGCGUUUWAAGGAGGAGUGUUCGAUUCGCGGUAUGGUUGGCUUCGGCUGAACAGGCGCUUAUUGAAUGCUUUUCCUGCUGUGGCGUGAUGGGCUGGUGAACCGUAGCUGUGUUUGGCUUGGCUUUUGAAUCGGNUUUGCUGUUGCGAAGUAG